rnacentral:ribozyme from 1 species
AAACUAUAGUCCAAAUCAGGAAAAACGAACAGAUUGGAAAAACUGUUAACGAGAAAUCCGCCACUACCAGACACAAUUGUUGCCCACCACAUUCAUCUGUUUCAGGUGUAUGGAUUGAUCAGUUAUUAUUAUUUUUUUUUUUUGUUCAAGUGUCACCCGCUGGUGCCUAUAAAGAAUAAAAAAACCGCAAAGACUUCAGCCCCCCCAAAAAAAAAACACACAACAAAAUAUGAA